CCUACGGGAGACUGCAGUGGGGAAUAUUGCACAAUGGGGGAAACCCUGAUGCAGCAACGCCGCGUGAGUGAAGAAGGAUUUCGGUAUGUAAAGCUCUAUCAGCAGGGAAGAAAAUGACGGUACCUGACUAAGAAGCCCCGGCUAACUACGUGCCAGCAGCCGCGGUAAUACGUAGGGGGCAAGCGUUAUCCGGAUUUACUGGGUGUCAAGGGAGCGUAGACGGCCAGACAAGUCAGAAGUGAAAGCCCAGGGCUCAACCCUGGGACUGCUUUUGAAACUGCCGGGCUGGAGUGCAGGAGAGGUAAGCGGCAUUCCUAGUGUAGCGGUGCAAUGCGUAGAUAUCAGGAGGAACCCCGGUGGCGAAGGCGGCCUGCUGGACUGCAACUGACGUUGAGGCCCGAAAGCGUGCGGAGCACACAGGAUUAGAUACCCUUGUAGUC
rnacentral:rRNA from 1 species